UUGUAGGGCACUCUAAUGAGACUGCCGGUGACAAACCGGAGGAAGGUGGGGAUGACGUCAAGUCCUCAUGGCCCUUAUGGGUAGGGCUUCACACGUCAUACAAUGGUCGGUACAGAGGGUUGCCAACCCGCGAGGGGGAGCUAAUCCCACAAAGCCGAUCGUAGUCCGGAUCGCAGUCUGCAACUCGACUGCGUGAAGUCGGAAUCGCUAGUAAUCGUGGAUCAGCAUGUCACGGUGAAUACGUUCCCGGGUCUU
rnacentral:rRNA from 1 species